ACACAGAAGGAAUCCGGUCCAAAUCCCCCGCAGUGCAUGCCGAA
rnacentral:tRNA from 1 species